UACAGAGGUCUCAAGCGUUGUUCGGAUUCAUUGGGCGUAAAGGGUGCGUAGGUGGCGCUGUAAGUCGGGUGUGAAAUCCCUCGGCUUAACCGGGGAACUGCGUCUGAUACUGGAUGGCUUGAGUUCGGGAGAGGGAUGCGGAAUUCCAGGUGUAGCGGUGAAAUGCGCAGAUAUCAGGAGGAACACCGGUGGCGAAGGCGGGUCUCUGGGCCGAAAUUGACGCUGAGGAGCGAAAGCGUGGGGAGCGAACAGG
rnacentral:rRNA from 1 species